CACUAUCGUUAACUGAAUACAUAGGUUAACGAGGCGAACCGGGGGAACUGAAACAUCUAAGUACCCCGAGGAAAAGAAAUCAACCGAGAUUCCCCCAGUAGCGGCGAGCGAACGGGGAGCAGCCCAGAGUCUGAAUCAGCUUGUGUGUUAGUGGAACGGUCUGGAAAGUCCGACGGUACAGGGUGAUAGUCCCGUACACCAAAAUGCACAGGCUGUGAACUCGAAGAGUAGGGCGGGACACGUGGUAUCCUGUCUGAAUAUGGGGGGACCAUCCUCCAAGGCUAAAUACUCCUGACUGACCGAUAGUGAACCAGUACCGUGAGGGAAAGGCGAAAAGAACCCCGGCGAGGGGAGUGAAAAAGAACCUGAAACCGUGUACGUACAAGCAGUGGGAGCACCUUCGGGUGUGACUGCGUACCUUUUGUAUAAUGGGUCAGCGACUUAUAUUCUGUAGCAAGGUUAACCGUAUAGGGGAGCCGCAGGGAAACCGAGUCUUAACUGGGCGUUAAGUUGCAGGGUAUAGACCCGAAACCCGGUGAUCUAGCCAUGGGCAGGUUGAAGGUUGGGUAACACUAACUGGAGGACCGAACCGACUAAUGUUGAAAAAUUAGCGGAUGACUUGUGGCUGGGGGUGAAAGGCCAAUCAAACCGGGAGAUAGCUGGUUCUCCCCGAAAGCUAUUUAGGUAGCGCCUCGUGAAUUCAUCUUCGGGGGUAGAGCACUGUUUCGGCUAGGGGGUCAUCCCGACUUACCAACCCGAUGCAAACUACGAAUACCGAAGAAUGUUAUCACGGGAGACACACGGCGGGUGCUAACGUCCGUCGUGAAGAGGGAAACAACCCAGACCGCCAGCUAAGGUCCCAAAGUCAUGGUUAAGUGGGAAACGAUGUGGGAAGGCACAGACAGCCAGGAUGUUGGCUUAGAAGCAGCCAUCAUUUAAAGAAAGCGUAAUAGCUCACUGGUCGAGUCGGCCUGCGCGGAAGAUGUAACGGGGCUAAACCAUGCACCGAAGCUGCGGCAGCGACACUAUGUGUUGUUGGGUAGGGGAGCGUUCUGUAAGCCUGCGAAGGUGUGCUGUGAGGCAUGCUGGAGGUAUCAGAAGUGCGAAUGCUGACAUAAGUAACGAUAAAGCGGGUGAAAAGCCCGCUCGCCGGAAGACCAAGGGUUCCUGUCCAACGUUAAUCGGGGCAGGGUGAGUCGACCCCUAAGGCGAGGCCGAAAGGCGUAGUCGAUGGGAAACAGGUUAAUAUUCCUGUACUUGGUGUUACUGCGAAGGGGGGACGGAGAAGGCUAUGUUAGCCGGGCGACGGUUGUCCCGGUUUAAGCAUGUAGGCUGGUUAUCCAGGCAAAUCCGGAUAAUCAAGGCUGAGGUGUGAUGACGAGGCACUACGGUGCUGAAGUAACAAAUGCCCUGCUUCCAGGAAAAGCCUCUAAGCAUCAGGUAACAUUAAAUCGUACCCCAAACCGACACAGGUGGUCAGGUAGAGAAUACCAAGGCGCUUGAGAGAACUCGGGUGAAGGAACUAGGCAAAAUGGUGCCGUAACUUCGGGAGAAGGCACGCUGGUGUGUAGGUGAAGUCCCUGCGGAUGGAGCUGAGACCAGUCGAAGAUACCAGCUGGCUGCAACUGUUUAUUAAAAACACAGCACUGUGCAAACACGAAAGUGGACGUAUACGGUGUGACGCCUGCCCGGUGCCGGAAGGUUAAUUGAUGGGGUUAUCCGUAAGGAGAAGCUCUUGAUCGAAGCCCCGGUAAACGGCGGCCGUAACUAUAACGGUCCUAAGGUAGCGAAAUUCCUUGUCGGGUAAGUUCCGACCUGCACGAAUGGCGUAAUGAUGGCCAGGCUGUCUCCACCCGAGACUCAGUGAAAUUGAACUCGCUGUGAAGAUGCAGUGUACCCGCGGCAAGACGGAAAGACCCCGUGAACCUUUACUAUAGCUUGACACUGAACAUUGAGCCUUGAUGUGUAGGAUAGGUGGGAGGCUUUGAAGCGUGGACGCCAGUCUGCGUGGAGCCAACCUUGAAAUACCACCCUUUAAUGUUUGAUGUUCUAACGUUGGCCCCUUACCGGGGUUGCGGACAGUGUCUGGUGGGUAGUUUGACUGGGGCGGUCUCCUCCCAAAGCGUAACGGAGGAGCACGAAGGUUAGCUAAUCCUGGUCGGACAUCAGGAGGUUAGUGCAAUGGCAUAAGCUAGCUUGACUGCGAGCGUGACGGCGCGAGCAGGUGCGAAAGCAGGUCAUAGUGAUCCGGUGGUUCUGAAUGGAAGGGCCAUCGCUCAACGGAUAAAAGGUACUCCGGGGAUAACAGGCUGAUACCGCCCAAGAGUUCAUAUCGACGGCGGUGUUUGGCACCUCGAUGUCGGCUCAUCACAUCCUGGGGCUGAAGUAGGUCCCAAGGGUAUGGCUGUUCGCCAUUUAAAGUGGUACGCGAGCUGGGUUUAGAACGUCGUGAGACAGUUCGGUCCCUAUCUGCCGUGGGCGCUGGAGAAUUGAGGGGGGCUGCUCCUAGUACGAGAGGACCGGAGUGGACGCAUCACUGGUGUUCGGGUUGUCAUGCCAAUGGCACUGCCCGGUAGCUAAAUGCGGAAGAGAUAAGUGCUGAAAGCAUCUAAGCACGAAACUUGCCCCGAGAUGAGUUCUCCCUGAGACUUUAAGUCUCCUGAAGGAACGUUAAAGACGAUGACGUUGAUAGGCCGGGUGUGUAAGCGCAGCGAUGCGUUGAGCUAACCGGUACUAAUGAACCGUGAGGCUUAACCUU
rnacentral:rRNA from 1 species